UCUCUGUUGUCUGUACUGCAGCCGUGAUGAUCAGAAGUUUAGGACCACACUGUAGUCAAGAAAAAGGAAUGAUCUUCGUAAGCUACACCCUUUCGAUCCCAAUCUUACCUUUUUUUAAUUAGUUUUGUUAGUGCUUCCAUUACUUUCUGUUAAAAUAUGCUUAAUGGGCUAGAGACUGUAUAUUUUCAGAAAGUUAUAGUGUGUGGUAUGUUUGCUGAACUUGUGAUGACGGUUCUUCAGGCAGGACUUUCGUCCCUAUAUUUUAACUUUGAACAUCAUUAUAUUUAGAUAAAUGAUGUGUUUACUGAAUUAGCGUUGUUUAAUUUUUGAAGUUAUGCCUUUCGUAAUAUUGCAUUCUAGAUAGGCAAAAAGAUAUAGGAAUUAAAUUUUGCGGCUCUAGCAUAAAUGUUUAUCACCACGGUGACAUUUAUUUUUCAAUUUAGAUAAGAAAAAAGAGAUAAGUAUUGAACAGAGAGUAGAGAGGAUAAGAGCAUUGUAGUUCAGCGUGGUUCAUGCCAAAGACGGUGAUACAUAUAAUUUCUUAGGAUAGUGCAAAUUCAUUGAUGAUGCAGCGGAAGUAACACAAGUUCUGCUAGAAUUUCUCUCACAUAACAUGGAUAGAGGUGAGUUUUGCAUAAUCCAUCUCAGUAACAAGCUUGCAUUGAGUUAUUCUUUUCAAGAAGCUUACCAUGCACAACUACAGGAUACUUGUAGUUCUCAGUGGCAAUUGAUAGCUACAUUCUUCAAUGGGAGACCUAGCAUGCCUUGAGUACAACAAUACAUGAUCUUCUGGAAACAAACUGUUCAUGAUUGACGCAUAAUAUGUCCUCUGUCCGCAUUUUAAUUAUUUAUAUUAAUAUUCUGGUUAUCACUGCAGGAGUUGAAAUGGAUUUGAUGAGGGAAGUCUGCAAUGCAGACUGUGUUAAGUGUACCCGCUCCAGAUUUCAUCGGCAGUAAAUGGUCCACUGCUAUCGGCAGGUGCCUUCUUGCACUCUUCUGACCCAGAUUUGGCAUGUUUUUCAUUUUCUACUAUCAUCGCGUAGUUGCACAAAAAUACGUAAGAGCAUGGCUCAAAACCCACAGAGAGGCACAACUUUGAAAUGGUUUUAUUUAAACAAUGAAACAAUGUUAUUUGACUGAAAAUCUAUAGUAUAUUUUGAUUAUGGGGACACAGCUGAAAUGUAUACACCAAGAAAACAUAACUCUCUUCAGUUGAAUUUUAAAUUCAUGUUGUGGAAAUCAAAUCCAUUUCAAAUUCCAUGAUUUCGGCUAGAAUGAUUAAUGCUACGCCGCUGCUGAUGCCAAAGGUUGUGACACUUUUUUAAUGAUAGUGCAAAUUGAUUGAUGAUGCAGCGCAAGUAGUACAAGUUCAUCAUGUCCACUGCCCAUCCAUGAAUUGUUUUACGAUUGUUUUUCCCGUUGCAAUACACGGGCACAUUGUAGGAGGAAUAUGCAUGCGUUGGUGGGUGCUGGAGAUUCCCUGCAAUACCCGAGGAUCCGAUGGCGAGCCGUAGGUCGGGGAAGUCGUCGGCAUACAUAUAAGGAGAUGGAGGUGGAAGUGGCGGUGGAGGGAGACGGGCAUUCACUACUCGUCGGAGGGUGAGGGCAUGGAGGACAACCGGCACGACAAUUACCACGCCUUCCUCCCGUCGAAUCACUCAAGCACGACGUCCUGGUCCUCUCUAUCCAUUGGCCCCCUCCAACAUCUACCACGAUGACCACAUGUUGUUUGCGUAGCAGCAACGGCGGCCAUCCAUGAUCUUCUUUUGUGCCGACCUGCUAGAAACAGGUACAUGCGCCGGCCUCCAUGGCAAGGUAGUGCAGUUAGAUGUUGCAAUGGAUCCAUUCGUUUGAGAUCAUCUAAUUUGUUUUCUCGUUUUUCAUCAGGUUGGGCUAUAGACAACUAGAGAUUGGUCACCUGUCUAGCAGCUCUUUUCUGAAAACAAAGCCCAGGUCUAUGUGUUCAAAAUCAUGAAGGAGGAUGUCAAAGUGUUUCUGCAGCGCAUCAGGUCUAUGUUUUCCAUUGCCCUGGACUUGCGUGUAAUAGUACAUAGAGUUUAGUCUGAUUCUAAAGAAAUAUAUGGCUAUCUGAUUUUAAAGAACAAGAGAAGAAAAUAUAGAUAUGCAUCUUCACGUGUGUGCAUUAAAUUCGUUUUGAUUCUGUUAAUCUUUUUUGUUGCAGGCGGAAGAAAAAGCAACAUGAAGUUCCCGUCUACAUCAAACUGCUUUCACUUAUAUUCUGCCGAAUUUGUUCCAUCUAUAGGACUGUACAUGGAGAUUAUCUAUAAGGGUUAUGUCCCGUACAAGGAUAUUAUCUUAUAGGACAGGCAUAUCAGCCCCCAUUCAGACAUAGCAGAUAUUCAACAGAAGAAGUUCCUCCACUGCUACUGGCCAAACUCUAAGCAAAAAGACCUUCCACUUUCCUUGCUAAUGGUGAGCAACUCAAAGAUGGCUACAAGGUUACACUUAAUAUUUACUCUCUGAAUAACAUAUUAUUUAUUUGACCAAUACAUGUAUAAAUGCCUUGAGAGAACAUGUAUAUAUAGCUGCAUAUAUGUUAUAUCUGAACAAUGGCAGAUUUGACCAUUAAUUACAUGUAUAUACUUGCUAGGAGAGAACGUGUAUAGCUUUCAGUUAAGCUUUUCGAUCAUUAAGCUGUUACUUUCUCAUCUUAUUUCUAGGUAGAAACAUUAUUGGUGUUCUUCAGCUUAAUUUUGAAACAUGAACACCA
rnacentral:lncRNA from 1 species